GAUGCCCACGUUUGCUCCCGCAGAGAAGUCGCGAGGCCGGUCCUUGGGAGAUGCGGGGCCCACCAGGUCCAGAAAGUGGCAGAGCUGGUGGCUUGGCCAGCAGGAAGCCAUGCUCGUGACGUGUACCCAGGAACAUGGCCACAGCGCUGUGGGAGCACGCAGGAGCGGACUGUACUCUUUGGAAGGAAGUUACUAUGCACAGACGAGACUUAAGGAGUGGAGAUUUAUGCUCACUUGAGGUAUAAGCUCGCUGAAGGCAGUGACAGGUGACUUGCAGACCUCCUCCUGCCACAGGGCUGGCACAUUGUUGGCUUCUGCUAAAAUAUGCUGAAAGAAAGAAGGUCCUUGGCUCACUCAGAACACCUCUUUACAACCCUUUGUAAGAGGUAAAUUUCUUCUUCUUCCUGUUUGAUUCCCUUCCAGAUGUUUCCAAAUCUACCUAAAAUAGUCCCAGUUCUCAAAAAGCCUUCUCCCCUCCCUGUUACUGUCAUUCCUUCUCUCACUGAGUGACAAAGCCCUGCCCAAGGCAUGUAUAGACUCAGCCUGCCCUCUUUCUUCCCACCACCUUCCAGGGUUGUGAAGACCCCAGAGAAGCCACUGGGUGAGAGGGGAUAGGACACUUUUUUCACCUCUCUAGGUGGGAAAUGAAGGCAUCCUCAGGUCAGUGGUCCUGAACUGGGGUUCACAGGUCCUUAGGGGUAUGGAAGGCAUCCUCAGGUCAGCGGUCCUCACACUGGGGUUCACAGGUCCCAAGGAGAGCACACCAAAUAGUUUUAAGGGAAUAAGUGUCCAGAGUUUCCCUGGGCCAAAAGUGACCAUCAGGAGACGGCCCCUGGGAGCAAGGUCUUAUCCCCUUCCACCUCCCCUGCUCCUAACUCUUCAGAACAAAAGUGCACCACUCACCCACCAGGAUGGUGAAAUGGAAACCACUCCACCCCAUGGUACAUUGCUUCAGGGCAUAAAAAUCUUCCAGGAGCCCAGCAAAGAGACCACUGGAAUUAUUGUUGGUGUCCCCACAAAGAGAAUAAAGACCAAGUGACAAGAAAACAUCGAACGGUUUCUAAUUCGCUAAUUCGAAUACGAUUUGAGAACCUAAUCAAACUUUAGUUAAUUGAAAAAAAAUUGCUAACGGGGACUUCCCUGGUGGUACAGUGGUUAAGAAUCCGCCUGCCAAU